rnacentral:tRNA from 1 species
CAGAAGGUAGUUUAAGUAGAAUAGCCGCUUUGGGAGCGGCCGGUCCUAUAUUGGGCCUUUUGA